GACCAAGUUGGCAUGUGAUACCUUUUCGGAAAGCCCAAAGACAGCCCUCCGACGAAAGAAGCAGGACAAUGGAACUUUUCCAUUGACUUUUUGUCGACCCCAAAUUUUGACCUUUAAGUACUUUUUCGGGCAUUUUCGUGAUUGGGGCUAUAUUACGGACCCAAAAUUACUUGUUCAAGCAUUGUUUUCGAAUUUUUUCAUGCAUCAAAGCUCGUUAAGACUAGAUGGGGUAUCCCUACAUAGCGGGUGGGACCCACGGCGAUUGGUUCAUCAAGUCUUCAAAAAAGGAUAUAUACGAUUGCAUUGCAUAUACUAACGGAUGCGAUCAUACCAGCACUAAUGCACCGGAUCCCAUCAGAACUCCGCAGUUAAGCGUGCUUGGGUGAGAGUAGUACUAGGAUGGGUGACCUCUCGGGAAGUCCUCGUGUUGCAUCCCUCUUUUUUUUUUUUUUUUUUUCG
rnacentral:rRNA from 1 species